rnacentral:rRNA from 1 species
AGGACGAACGCUGGCGGCGUGCUUAACACAUGCAAGUCGAGCGGAAAGGCCCUUCGGGGUACUCGAGCGGCGAACGGGUGAGUAACACGUGAGCAACCUGCCCUUAGCUUCGGGAUAGCUCCGGGAAACCGGAAUUAAUACCGGAUAUGACUAUGGCCGACAUCAGCCAUGGUGGAAAGUUUUUCGGCUAGGGAUGGACUCGCGGCCUAUCAGCUAGUUGGUGAGGUAACGGCUCACCAAGGCGACGACGGGUAGCCGGCCUGAGAGGGCGACCGGCCACACUGGGACUGAGACACGGCCCAGACUCCUACGGGAGGCAGCAGUGGGGAAUAUUGCGCAAUGGGCGAAAGCCUGACGCAGCGACGCCGCGUGGGGGAUGAAUGCCUUCGGGUUGUAAACCCUUUCAGCAGGGACGAAGCGAAAGUGACGGUACCUGCAGAAGAAGCGCGGCUACUACGUGCCAGCAGCCGC